rnacentral:tRNA from 2 species
GGGUCCUUAGCUCAGUUGGUAGAGCAUCGGUCUCCAAAACCGAGGGUCGUAGGUUCAAGUCCUUCAGGGCCCGCCA